UGGGGAAUAUUGCACAAUGGGCGCAAGCCUGAUGCAGCCAUGCCGCGUGUGUGAAGAAGGCCUUCGGGUUGUAAAGCACUUUCAGCGGGGAGGAAGGCGUUAAGGUUAAUAACCUUGUCGAUUGACGUUACCCGCAGAAGAAGCACCGGCUAACUCCGUGCCAGCAGCCGCGGUAAUACGGAGGGUGCAAGCGUUAAUCGGAAUUACUGGGCGUAAAGCGCACGCAGGCGGUCUGUCAAGUCGGAUGUGAAAUCCCCGGGCUCAACCUGGGAACUGCAUUCGAAACUGGCAGGCUAGAGUCUUGUAGAGGGGGGUAGAAUUCCAGGUGUAGCGAUGAAAUGCGUAGAGAUCUGGAGGAAUACCGGUGGCGAAGGCGGCCCCCUGGACAAAGACUGACGCUCAGGUGCGAAAGCGUGGGGAGCAAACAGG
rnacentral:rRNA from 1 species